AUGAUGACUCUUGGCAAUGGAUAUCUCGGCUCUUGCAUCGAUGAAGAACGUAGCGAAAUGCGAUACCUGGUGUGAAUUGCAGAAUCCCGUGAACCAUCGAGUCUUUGAACGCAAGUUGCGCCCGAGGCCACCCGCCGAGGGCACGCCUGCCUGGGUGUCACGC
rnacentral:rRNA from 1 species